UUUUUUUUAAUUCUUUUACCUCUUUCAUUGAUAGUGUGCCUCCUCCCUUUUAUUAUUUUUUUUUGCCUUUUUUAUUGCUUUAUUUUUUAGUUUAUUUUAUUGUAUUUUUAGUUGAUGCAUAAUUGUUAAUCCAAAAAGACAAAAUGACCAUUAAAAUUAACCUUUCAAAAAUACUAAGAUAAAAUGUAUUUGAUCAACAUCAAGUAUAUUUUUCAAAAUUCCACUAAGCUUUUUUCUUUAAUAAGCACCUCAUAUCAUUUUAAACUAUUUCACAAACCAUUUUCACUAAUGCGAUAAACCCUCGAUCAACAUCGAGUUUC
rnacentral:lncRNA from 1 species